rnacentral:rRNA from 1 species
ACGGGAGACACACGGCGGGUGCUAACGUCCGUCGUGAAGAGGGAAACAACCCAGACCGCCAGCUAAGGUCCCAAAGUCAUGGUUAAGUGGGAAACGAUGUGGGAAGGCACAGACAGCCAGGAUGUUGGCUUAGAAGCAGCCAUCAUUUAAAGAAAGCGUAAUAGCUCACUGGUCGAGUCGGCCUGCGCGGAAGAUGUAACGGGGCUAAACCAUGCACCGAAGCUGCGGCAGCGACACUAUGUGUUGUUGGGUAGGGGAGCGUUCUGUAAGCCGUUGAAGGUGUCCUGUGAGGGAUGCUGGAGGUAUCAGAAGUGCGAAUGCUGACAUAAGUAACGAUAAUGCGGGUGAAAAACCCGCACGCCGGAAGACCAAGGGUUCCUGUCCAACGUUAAUCGGGGCAGGGUGAGUCGACCCCUAAGGCGAGGCCGAAAGGCGUAGUCGAUGGGAAACAGGUUAAUAUUCCUGUACUUGGUGUUACUGCGAAGGGGGGACGGAGAAGGCUAUGUUGGCCGGGCGACGGUUGUCCCGGUUUAAGC